GACUCAAGGAUGAUAUUGUUCUUGGUGAACUAAAUAUGAUAUGCAAUUAGAUAGCUUUGAUGCCUAACAAUAUAGAUGCCUUGGUACUAGCACUCCAUCGCAAGUCCUCAAGGAAGGACUACAUCGGUGUCUUUGACUGGAAAGCUACCAAGAAGAAGUUAGUCAACUGCUAAAUUUGCAUAGCUUUCAGGCAAUGAAACAGAACGUGCCUCAAAGUCUCAUCCUCUAUCCCAUAAUAAGGAUAAGUAGAUAAAAAAUCCAUACCUCUAUCUCUCGGCACCGAUCUUAUUGAAAGGCUACUCCAAUCAACCUUCCAAAUAAAUAAGCUCAUCAUUGGAUGUACUCCAAAUUUCUAAAUUCAAGUACCAUCCAACCUCUUGAUUGACUCUGUCUUGUACAGGUUGUAGAGGUUCCUAGCCACG
rnacentral:lncRNA from 1 species